UACGAAGGGUGCAAACGUUGCUCGGAAUUGAUUGGGCGAUAAAGCGCACGUAGGCGGCUUAGCAAGUCGGAUGUGAAAUCCCUCGGCUCAACCAAGGAAGUGCAUCCGAAACUGCUGUACUUGAGUACGAAAGAGGAUCGCGGAAUUCCCGGUGUAGAGGUGAAAUUCGUAGAUAUCGGGAGGAACACCAGUGGCGAAGGCGGCGAUCUGGGUCGAUACUGACGCUGAGGUGCGAAAGCGUGGGGAGCAAACAGG
rnacentral:rRNA from 1 species